CGCAGAGCCUCAUAGGAAAUGUAGUGUCACCUUCCAAUGAUGUUACCAUCAAGGACCUUGGGAACCAGCUUUUCUCUCUGCGCAUGCGCCGCCCCGCCCACUUCGCCAUUUUCCUCCGGAAGUGCGGAUCCCAGCGGCGGUCGUGUAGCUGAGCAGGCCUGGGGCUUGGUUCUAUGUCCCUGUAGCUAUGUUUCCAGUGUCCUCUGGGUGUUUCCAAGAGCAACAAGAAACGAAUAAAUCUCUGAUGGAUUUUCCCUCUUGUUGCCCAGGCUGGAGUGCAAUGGUGUGAUCUCGGUUCACUGCAACCCCCUGCCUCCCGGGUUCAAGCGAUUCUCCUUCCCCAGCCUCCUGAGUAGCUGGGAUUAGAGGCAUGUGCCACCAUGCCCAGCUAAUUUUGUGUUUUUAGUAGAGAUGGGGUUUUUCCUUGUUGGUCAGGCUGGCCCUGAACUCCUGACCUCAGGUGAUCCACCUGCCUCAGCCUCCCCAACACUUUGGGAGGCUGAGGCAGG
rnacentral:lncRNA from 1 species